rnacentral:misc_RNA from 1 species
GAUGAAGAACGCAGCAAAAUGCGAUAAGUAAUGUGAAUUGCAGAAUUCAGUGAAUCAUCGAAUCUUUGAACGCACAUUGCGCCCGCCAGUUUUCUGGCGGGCAUGCCUGUUCGAGCGUCAUUUCAACCCUCAAGCACAGCUUGGUGUUGGGACUCGCGUUAAUUCGCGUUCCCCAAAUUGAUUGGCGGUCACGUCGAGCUUCCAUAGCGUAGUAGUAAAACCCUCGUUACUGGUAAUCGUCGCGGCCACGCCGUUAAACCCCAACUUCUGAAUGUUGACCUCGGAUCAGGUAGGAAUACCCGCUGAACUUAAGCAUAUCAAUAAGCGGAGGA